rnacentral:sRNA from 1 species
GUCGUGAGAUGUUGGGUUAAGUCCCGCAACGAGCGCAACCCUUAUCCCAUGUUGCCAGCGGGUAAUGCCGGGGACUCGUGGGGGACUGCCGGUGCCAAACCGGAGGAAGGUGGGGACGAGGUCAAGUCAUCAUGCCCCUUACGUCCAGGGCUGCACACAUGCUACAAUGGCCGGUACAAAGGGCUGCGAUCCCGCGAGGGGGAGCUAAUCCCAGAAAGCCGGUCUCAGUUCGGAUCGCAGUCUGCAACUCGACUGCGUGAAGUCGGAGUCGCUAGUAAUCGCAGAUCAGCAUUGCUGCGGUGAAUACGUUCCCGGGCCUUGUACACACCGCCCGUCACACCACGAAAGUCGGUAACACCCGAAGCCGGUGGCCCAACCUUUUGGAGGGAGCCGUCGAAGGUGGGAUCGGCGAUUGGGGUGAAGUCGUAACAAGGUAGCCGUACCGGAAGGUGCGGCUGGAUCACCUCCUUUCUAAGGAGUCCACUGCUCGAGCGAGAGGUAUUUUGCCUCGAAGCUCGGGGAGCUCCUACGUCGAGCGCUGGCUAAUCGGCCCGUCGACAACCCCGACCCCACGUCGCUCUCGAGCGCACGUGGCACCACCGGGGCCGGCGGCGUCGGGCAUCACUGUUCCGUUUUGAGGGAGCACGCGCCCUCCGGCCGUCAGGCCGGAACGUCCGCGUCCCCUGGGCAGCGCGGUACCCGAGCUCGAGGAGAGCUCGAGGUCGCCGUCGCCCGAGGCCUGUGCCCGUCGACUUUCGACGGCGCGCGUCCUCGCCCGCUGGUUGAGAACUGCAGAGCGAGCACGAGCAUCAAGAACGAAGAAAUCCCAAGCUACAAAGAGCCAACGGUGGAUGCCUUGGCGCCAGAUGCCGAUGAAGGACGUGGGUGGCUGCGAAAAGCCACGGGAAGCUGCCGACCAAGCGCUAUGACCCGUGGAUAU